rnacentral:misc_RNA from 1 species
UUUUUUUUUUUUUUUUUUUAACUUAUGGGCAAUGAGGAUGAUUAAUUAAUCACAUAUCAUCAUUUCAAGGAACAUAAUUUAGUACAGUGCAUAUGAUCAAAUUAUAACAAUAUAAGCCCUUCAUGUCAGAUAUAUCCAACUCCAUGAAUACAUAUAGACUCUACUUCUGUAAACAUACCCAUAGAAUACAAGAUAAACGAAAAAAUAACAAGUAAAUAAAUUUGAAGACUAGAAGCCUACCAUUUCUAACUUGUUUCAGUAUAUCAUGGAGAGAGAGCUAGGCAAGUUCUUUGAUCCAUCCCCAUUGAUCACCAUCUUCUUGAUUAGACUCUUGGGAUCGAUUGGAAACUCGCAAAGUUAGUGUCAUGCUUGGAAAUUUUUGUCUUUGGUGAGUCGAUUUAUCUUUUAGUGAAACCUGUAUUAAUUCAGUGAAAAAGACACCAAGAUUUGGUUGGAGGAGCUUUGAAGAGAAUAUAAAGACGCAUCGAGAUCACAAGAGAUGGCUUGUAGAAGAGGAAGUGAAACCAGGAAGAUCAGUCCAUGCAUUACCACCCCAAUAUUGUUCAUUUCCUGACAUACCCAAAAAAUUCUUCGACAAAUUCAAUCCUUGAUUUUCUUCCAUUUUCACUGAGGCUAACUGAGUAACCCCACUAUCCAAUGGCCUAGACCGAAGCUGACCAACGUAAUUUGGAGGCUGAAACCCUUCGCCUUCAUAUGGAUACAAACCAGUUGGUGGUUCAAAAUUAGCCAAGAAAGGGAACUGCUGCACUUGUUGCAAUCUCCACUGAUCAACAAGCGCACUAGAUAAUAAAGACCCACCAGCACCACUUGAACUGGUACUUCCAAUCUGAAACUCCAUACCAGCACCACCACCAGCAGCUGUAGCGGCCCCCGGAGGCUGAAUUCCAACAAAAUUUAACCCUAUGUCUGUGGAAUUGUAGUCACUGAGAUGAUUUAAAGGCGGUAGGAUUGGCAAUUGUGGUGGUGGAGGGACCAUGUGCCCUAUAAGAUCAGUAGUGCAACUAUUAGAAACAAGUCCACUACUGGAGCUAGACCCAGCUUUAGUUGGAGAUUUCGAUCUACUACUUCCUUUACUCCUUUUAUUUCUUCUACAUCCACCACCAACCGGUACGCUCCUUAGUGCGCCUCCUCUGGUCCAGUAUCGCCUGCAAGUCUUACAAAAGUGGCGAGGCUGAGUAAGGCUAUAAUUAUUGAAGUAACAAAAUUUAGUAUUUGUUGAUUCACAUCUCGGACAUUUAAGGGCUGCCUCAGGUUGUGGAAUCUUAGCCAGUCUAGCUCGUUCAGCCAUCGAGCCAGGCCUGAUUGCUCCAGAGCUGCCACCACCAGUUCCAGGAGGCGGAGGUGGUGGCGGAAGUUGAGGGUUUUCUCCUCCAGCUCCCUGCUGCUGAUUAGGCUGCUGCUGCCGGUUGGGUGGAUCUAGAUAGACUGGAAUGGAUGUGAAGACCAUGGUGCUUGAGCUUUAAUUGAUCCUCUCUUUCUUUUGUAAAGGUUGAUUUUUUUUUUUUUUAAAUUUCUUUGAGAGUGUAUGGUGGAGAAUCACAUCAAGAAGAGAGAGUUGCAGAAAGAAAGAAAGACUGAAAGAGCCAGUGGAGAUGGAAAGAUAAAGGAGGCUCUCUGUAAGUAUGUGUGAGUGUGUUGAUUUAUUUUGUUCUUUGGUCUCUCUCCCCACCUUCAACUCUCUCUCUUUCUUUUUGUUUUAUUAAAUUUUUAGGUUUU